AACGAACGCUGGCGGCAUGCCUAACACAUGCAAGUCGAACGAGAUCUUCGGAUCUAGUGGCGCACGGGUGCGUAACGCGUGGGAAUCUGCCCCUUGCUUCGGAAUAACAGUGAGAAAUUACUGCUAAUACCGGAUGAUGUCUUCGGACCAAAGAUUUAUCGGCAAGGGAUGAGCCCGCGUAGGAUUAGGUAGUUGGUGGGGUAAUGGCCUACCAAGCCGACGAUCCUUAGCUGGUCUGAGAGGAUGAUCAGCCACACUGGGACUGAGACACGGCCCAGACUCCUACGGGAGGCAGCAGUGGGGAAUAUUGGACAAUGGGCGAAAGCCUGAUCCAGCAAUGCCGCGUGAGUGAUGAAGGCCUUAGGGUUGUAAAGCGCUUUUACCAGGGAUGAUAAUGACAGUACCUGGAGAAUAAGCUCCGGCUAACUCCGUG
rnacentral:rRNA from 1 species